UCCAUGGUCUGAAUAUAGGUUUUGAACAGGCUCCAGAGCACAACCAGGGCGAAUCUUUGGUUUCAGUCUACACCAUCACGUGAAACUAAGAAGAUAUUUCUGUGUACUUAGAUCUCUUUCUGUUUGGAUUCCAGGUCUUUUUCAUCCCAAGCCUACUUCGUUUGAGAGGUGAUAAAGAAAGAAAAGCACUGCAGUGCGCUCGCUGAAGAGGCCACUUAGGAGGCAAUAAAGAAUCAUGGGCUAAAUGAGGUAAUGAAGGUAUGACAAGAAUGAAAGCUUUAUACCAUCAAGCAGGCAAGAUUCCUAGUGUUCAUGGGACAGUGUGACCCAAAGCUCAGUGUCAGUGCUGAGAUAAGUACUACAACCCUUACCAGAUCCUCUCCUGAAGGAGCCACGGAGGAUGAUGGUAUUGCUUCAUGACCAAAAGUACUACUGAUUUGAGGGAGGAUUUUUGGAUAUGACCUGUUGUCUCCUGGAGAUUGGGGUGAAACUCCAUAUCCUUUCUCUGCAUGAUCUCAUUACAGUCAUCUCUCUAGGGGUGAAAACCCAUGUAAAUGACUGACACGUGACAGAGAGCUCCAUAGCUUAACUGGAUUUGCAGAUGCAUAAAGACCUAUCUUCCUUCUCUUGCUCUGAAUCCGCCUCCAGCUGACUCCAGCUGAUGUCCUGCAGCUCUCAGAACAUUGCAAGAGAUUUUCAUCACUAAAUCUAAAAUAACAGAUGCAGAUGGGAGGAAAAUGAGGGCACAGAAGUACAAUGAAUUGUCUGAAGUCACACACCAAAUAAGUGUCAGAGCUGGACUCGGGAUUUUGGGAAGUGUUUUAUCCACCACACAAAGCUCUCUGUUACUGCUGCUGAAGAUGAUGAUAGCGUUCGUGUUAAACAAGUCAAAAAGAACAAUCGUCCUAUUCAACUUUAUACUACAAGCAAAUGUGUAUUCAAAACAGAGCCAAAGUCUGGCUGUUAAUUCCUUGUUCCCAGCCCACUGGAUGUUGCUGUGUUAUGAAGAUGCCUGUAUUAAUUUCUCCAUCAGGAAAAGCAAUAAAACCAUCCCAAUCAUCAAAGAUGUUGCUAUUGCAGUUCCCAAAGCUAUUUCCAUGAUAUGACUUCUCCUUUUCCUCUGGAGAGGUCUUGGUGGAACCCAUGGAAGUCUUGUGGCAUGAACUGGAUCAAAGAUCUCUGCAAGUGCCUUCCAGUCUACAUUAUUCUCUGAUUUCACAGUUUUUGGAUCAUCAAAUAAGGCUCUGUGGAAGAGGUCCUGCAACAGAAUUUGCCUGUUUGGGAAUUCUAAAGUCUUCAGGGCCGAGAUUUACCUUCCAGCAAUAUGACUACCAGAAACUGGGCUAGAAACAGCUCACAACACUGGCUUUUUCAGUUUUUUUUUUUUUUCCCCAGAAUCCUUUGCAAUCAUUAGCACUCUUUUUUCGUACUUAAUUUGCAGGCUGUUUACACAGUGCAAAAGUGGUGGGUGAGCUCAUGUCAUUCCCACACCAGGUUUCAGAAUGAGAAAGCAGUGUGUUACCUCAUGUCCCUGUGGCUUUGACCAAAGCAGCAGUCUCUAACACAUGUAAAUUCAGAUAUCCCGUAGUACGGAAUGACUAAAAAAUGUGGUUUGUGGUGGAUUUUCCAUGUAGCGUCUCAUAAGGAUCCAUAGGACUGUGGGGACAAAGAACAAAGGGCAGGAGCUGAAAGACAGUUGAAAAAUUUUGUCUCUUUCAUGUGGCCUCACCUACGAAUGAGGAUAAUGUUGAGAGAAAAAUAAAGAAAAACAGAGAAUUCUCAGAGUGUUGUUUCUUAUGGCUUCCAUGAUACCUUAUCUUUACCAGUACAUUAAAGAUAUCCUGGACUCUAGCACUUUCUCCUUGCUGCAUUCCUGUGUAGGAGCUCU